GCAGGAGGCAGAGGCCUCCCAUCCCUCAUCCCGUCCACCCCGCCUAUGGCAGCAUCUAAGUGGGGUGGGGGUGGGGGGAGGCCACAAAGCCUUGUUUGAAAACCACCGCUUUAAACACUUGUGUUCCCUCCUGCUCCCCAAGCAUCCAGGGGCCAGGCUCCUGGAGGCGCUUGAAAUCUGAUUGUUAAAGAAAUAGACGAAUGGAUGUCUCUGUCCCCUCACUUAUGUGCUGUGAGGUUUUGUGCUCAGUUCUCAUCCGGGCCUGGGCUGGGGCAAGACUCUCCCGUGUGUCUGCUCUAGGUGUGCCUAGUGAUCCUGGAGCUGUCCAAUGUCCCCAGGUGGGAAGGGCCAGAGCCAAAGACAUCAGCAGGGGCUGCGGAAGUAGCAAGCGAAGUGGGGACGCGUGUGCAGAGAUGCGCCCGGUCAGCGCACGCAAUCUGCCAACAGCCCGGACCCCGAUGAAUCGCGAAGGCAGAGCCUGAAGCGUCACAAAGCACCGGAGGAACUCUCCACCCAUCCCCCUUCCUCCUCCGCGAGGCAGGGGCCCCGGAUUCUAGCCCCGGCUCUACCAUUUACUGCCACGGACCCUUGGGCAAGUCACUUCCCUUCUCUGGGCCUUAGUUUCCUCCCUUGUAAAAGUGAGCGAGUAGGACUAAUGGAACGCCCCAGGCCCCAGGGUGCUGAGCCGUGCUCCCACGGCGGGACAGGAACUGGGGACAAGGCUCAGAGUUGGUUGGCAGGGUGGAAGGGGAGGCUACAGAGAAAGGGCGAGACAUAAUCCUUGCCCCGGAAAAGGUUCAUCAGGAAGGUAUAGAAGAGAAGGAUGGUGACAGAGAGCCUGGCCCAUCCUGCAGGGUCCCCUCUUGUGCCCUUGGUUGCACAGCUGGGCUCUUGGUUUAGAUUUUCUCCCGGGGCUAGGCAAAACGUCAACUCCCUUUGUCCCCAUGCUCAUCAUCCUUUGUCACCUUGCCCAUAGGGCCUGUGGUCCUACCUCUCCCUGAGAAUGAACUUCCCCCCACCACACGCAUUCUUUUCUCGUCCAGAUCUCCCUGCACUUUCAUAAUCCUCCUCCUCCUGGAAGUCCUCCCUGACCUCCACUUCCAUGUCACUCCCCGCUGGCCUGGGUGCAAAGUCCCCUGAGCUGACGGCUGUCAAGCUGCCAUCAUCCUUUCAGUUAGAAACGUUUUUGAGGACAGGGACCCUGUCUUUUUGUCCUGGAAUGUCCACUCCCUGGCUCACAGCAGGGCCCUGUGGAAGGAAGGACCCAGACGGGAGCACACAGCUUGGGGCUGGGGGCGAGUGGCCUUGUGUGCGCUCGGCCAAGCAAACGCUCCAGACCGUCAAACUCGCCCGCAAGCACACACGCAUCCAGACAGCCCGGCGCGGACACACGCACCCGCGAGCCAGCGCCCUCUCUCACGCUGCAAACCCCCACAUGAGGUGGGGGGUGGGAUGUGGGGGAGGAGGCGGAGGGGGCUGCCCUCCAGAUGUUGUUGGAAAUCCAACACGUCCCCUCCCCCCCUCCCUCUCCCACUUCCCGUUCCAUUUCCCCUAAAUAUUUACUGAUUUUUAUUUACAUUCUUUGCCCGAGGUGCCCGGCCCCUGUCAGGUCCCAUUUGCUGGGCCUGCUUCCCUCCUGCCAGCUCCCCCCCCUCCUCCCUCAAAUCCGGAGCCGGGAGUCGUGUGUGGUUGGGACUUCUGGAAAGGACUGAUGGAUGCCAGAUGCCAGGAGCCCUGGCACCCAGGGAGGACUCUGAAGAGAGAGGAGGGAGCGCUGGGUCAGACGUCACAGGGCGUGGGGCAGGCGUGCUGGGCGACUACUCCCGAGCUGACCAACCACUCUGGGCCGCCUUACCGCCAGCCAGCGGAUCAAGGUGCUUGAAGAAGUGACUUCCCGCUCUGUUCUCAGGCUCCCCGCCCCCUUGGACCCUGCCCUCCUCUUAGCCAUUUCAUCCAUCAGUAUGGGGCACCUACUAUGUGCCAGGCACUGUCCCAGGUGCUGAUGAGACAGCAGCAGACUGUCGUCCCUUGUCCCUUAUUCUUGCCCUGUGGAGUCCGCUGUUCUCGGGAGAGAAUGAGUGGGCUGUAAGUGCCCCGGGGAGGAAGAAGCAAGCUGUUAGCCUCCUUGGCUUUGGAAGAUCCGCUUGGCUCCCUGCUCCUCCCCUCAGCCCCAGGGGGGCCCAUAGUGAACACCUGCUUGGUUACUGGUGCAGGUCUGCCGCGCCUUCGGUUCAUAUACUGGCAUUUGGAGAGAGGCUGCGUUGUUCCGGUCUUCCCUGAGCACUGCUCCACUCAAAAGAGCCCCCGCGAGGGACCAGCCUUGGCCCGCAAGGUACAGAAGUUCAAGUGCAGGAAGGAUUUCCUGGGCCGUGAAGGGGGACAGCUGAGCAGCUGGAAUUCGGGGAAUCAGUUCAUGUGCACCCUGCUGUAUGAAAGGUCCAUGGCUGAGGGCCUGGCGGGGGAGGGUCAGGGUCUCAGAGAGGACGAAGGACCACAGUGACAGGCCGGCAAACAAAGGCUGUCAGCUCCAUGCAGCUGGCCUGGACGUUUGCACCGCACCGGGAACACAGCACCUGGCCCAGAGGAGGCCUUCAGUGAAUUCCUGCCGAGAGAAGAGAAUCUUGGUUUCCCGGCUCAGCUUCCCAUUUGCUUUUCCUGAACCUGCAGUUCCCUAUCUACCAGAUGGAGUAGUAACCCCAGUACUUUCUGUCUUGUCACAUUGUCACGGGGAACAAACGGAACAACGAUGGCAAAAGCGUUCUGCGAACACGAUACACAGGCUGCAGCCCAGCACCGUGCCGGGCCUGCGGUGGUGGUGGCUCGGUAUUGAAUAAAUGAGCAAAUGACUCGAUCUCCACCAGAUGUGAGCUCCACGUAGGCAGAGACCUGGCUUGUUUUUCCUUGGCAUUAUUUCCCCAGUGCCCGGCACACCGUAGGUGCCCAAUAAAUAUUUGGAUCGAAUGAAUGAAUGAAUGAAUGAUACGACUUAACCCUACCCUGGGAAACUUCUAGAACUUUGGAGGUGAUGGGACAAACCACAGGGCCAUGAACCCAAAUGGCUUUGGAGGCAUCAAGAUCUCGGUCUGAACGCUGACUUCACCAACAAGGUUGAAAGCGGCUGUUAUUUCCCCAUUUUACGCAGGAGGAAACAGGCUCAGAGAGGUUGUGUGACUUACCCAAGGCCCCACAGCUCCCAGUAAGUGAGGGGAUCAGGAUGGGGGCCCAGGAUUCUGCCUCCAAAGCCUGUGCUUUUUCCUACCAUAGAAGGUUCUUGCUGUAGCUGGUCCGUUGGGACAAUGGCCUCUAUGACUGUCUACUUGACAAGCUGGAAUAUUCUGUUGGGGGAAGCUCUCCUAAUCGCAUACCAUCUCAGAGACCCCCCCAGUUGGGGACUGCCGGGACCAAUGAGAGGCCAAGAUCUAUUCAGGGUGUACCAGGUCCAGAAAUGCACACACUUUGCCCAUGACAUCCGUGUUCAGAUGCGGAGACAACAUAUGGAGGGGAGCUACUGGAGGGCUCUCCCGGCCCAGGGUCUCUGUCAUACCCCCUCAAAGCCACACCUCCUCUCUGGCACCCUGGGCCAGUGCUGCUCCCUGAAUGCUCCCUAAGCGCUUCCUUCGGCAGGGCCGGGUCGUGUCACAGCUGCCCUUCCCCUCCCUGAAUGGACUUGGGGCUUUACCAUUCAGUUCCCUGCUUCCCCAGGUAUGUUUCAUUGAACUGUAUUUUGGCUGUUGAUAGGUAUUUCUUGCAAAAAAGAUGGUGUGUGACGGCGUAAGUUUGGGAAGCUGUAAACAAGCUGGAACCUUGCAGGACUUCUCAGGGCCUUUAUUGUGCUUAUGUUGGACUGUGAAUCUCCGAGGGGUGGGGAGUUCCAACAAAGAGCAUUUUCCCAAGCGUGCUAGCCCCCAAACUCUUUCUUCAGGAGCAUCUCGUGGGAUUGGUGUGCUCCCGGGCACACUUUGGGGAUUAUUGCUGUGGCUGUGAAGAGUCCUUGAAGGCAUUUAAGCAGAGUUAGAGGAUCCGACUGGUGUUUCUCGGAAGACCACUGGGUGGACCGCGGGAGCCAAGACAGGGGCUGAGGAAGCCCUUAGGAGGCUGAACUGACAGUCUUCGAAAGAGGAGCCUCGUCCGUGUCCGCCUGCUGUGCCAAACUUAGGUCUCUGUCCCCAGUGAGCUCGCAGUCGGGGUGAUGUAGGAGAGGCCAAGGUCCUACCAGGAAUUCUCCUCCGGGGCAGAAGAUGCUAAGUGCUAUAAGCACCUCCGAUCCAAGAAGACUUCCUGGUGACUUCCUCAAUUGGCAGCCCAGAGCUCUGGCCAUGCUCCUCUCCUGUUUCUUUUCAAGAAUCAGUGAAUUAUUUGAGAUGA